rnacentral:lncRNA from 7 species
GCUUGCCUACCCAACGCAUAUAUGGUGGGGAGUAGGGCUCUCGACCGUGCUCACCGUAUUCGAAAUCACAGAGAAAACUACGCCUGGUUGAAAGCUCGGUGGGCGGGGAGGGAGAAGAAAUCGCCGCCGCCGUCGCGUCCUUCGUUUCCACGCACCCGCAGUCGCUGGUGGAGGGCAGCCGCCACCAUGGCUGUCUGCGGGGUGGUGUCCCUGCACGUCGGGCGGUUGGAAUCGGCCCAAUUCCACGCCGGGGACUCACCCGAAUCGCGGAUCCGCCGCUCACCGUGGCUGGGCUUUCUGCGGUGAACUGUGUG